UCAUUUUGCAAAGCUAAAUGCACCGGAGAGAAGCCAUCUUGGUUUAGCUUCCUGGCAAAUGAUGGCUUUAGUCUGAUAAUCUCCGUGGACCAUUCAACAUUUCCAUCCCUUGCAGCAGCAUGCAAAGGAGUAUCGACAAAAGGUUUCUCGUCGAAGUUGUCCAAAAAAUAUCGAUCAUGUCGAAUUAGCUCAUACAAAGCAUCGACAUCCCUCACUUGAGCAGCGGACUCCAUCACCGAAAUUAACACUACGAAGGUGGCACUUCAAUGAUCAAAUAUUCUUUGUACUACAGAGAGGAAACUGGAAAGUUUUAACAACUGAACAAGAAGAGCAAUUGAAGAAACCCAGCAAGAAAUCAUAUGCUCAGGAAGCAAUUUUUUUCAAAAGAUUCAAUAUAUGUAUAUAUAGCUUCAACGAAAAUUCUUUUUAGAAAGUGAGGACUAGGAACAAAAUCAAUUUUCUUCAUGUUUUGUGAUUGCCUCUAUGAGGUUUGCCUUAAAUAAGAGUGAGAUAUUUUUACCAAAAGGGGAAAGAAUAGAUAUACAUCAUAUUUUGGAGAAUUUGUGACGUAGAAAUCAUGACGUAGACUCCUCAUAAAGAAAAUUGAUUCGGAUGUAUGAACAUCAAUAUCUGUGCUCCUUCGUGUGUAUUAUGCUAUUUAUUAAUAAAAGGUACUUUAAGAAAUAAUAAAUUGAUGGAUAUCUUAAAGAGUAAUGAUAUAGCCACAAACUUUUGUACAAACUUAUUUUGUACAAAUUGAUGUGGCAUGAUAAAAUUGGUUGAAUUAAAUAUCUCUUGGCCCACAUGAUUUAUUUUUAUUAUUUUAUAUUUUUAUUCAACCAAUGAGUUAAUGCCACAUUAGUUUGUACAAAAUAAAUUUGUACAAGAGUUUGUGGUUGUAUCAUCACUCUAUUUUAAAAUACAUUUCACGUACUAUUAUUUGAAUACUUGUAAAAAAACUGAGAUGGGAUAAAAAAAGGAAAAGGAUAACGACAUUCCAAGAUUUGGGAAAAUAAUUACAAAAAACUCUUUAAGUCUUAAAAAAAAGAUACAAAAACUUUUUUUGCCCACAAUACCUUUUGAUUAUAUUAAUUAAAAAAUUAAUUUUAAAACUGCUGUACGGCCAAGGCGGAUGUACGGUACAGCAGAAGGAGUAUCCUGUUGCCAUCCCUAUCUUUCAAGUUGAGGAUUCUUUGAUUGUAUUGUUGAGCUUCUUCAGGGCCAAGCCACGGUGGUCGUACUGUUGUUAAGGCUUGAUGAAAAGAUUCGACCUUAUCGUUUUUCAAAGCAAUAUGAAGAGCCGUCUCGCCUUUAUUGGUCACAUCUUCAAGAGAUUUCGGACAAGCAGACAAAAAUUCCCUCAACAGAUGGAUGUCUCCUUUUUCAGACACGAAAUGCAAAGGAGUGAUGCCUUCUCUUCCUUGGACACGAACAAGGUCCGGAUCAAUAUCUAUCAGCUGAAGCACUAACUGAGUUUGAUCAUUUUGCAAAGCUAAAUGCACCGGAGAGAAGCCAUCUUGGUUUAGCUUCCUGGCAAAUGAUGGCUUUAGUCUGAUAAUCUCCAUGGACCAUUCAACAUUUCCAUCCCUUGCAGCAGCAUGCAAAGGAGUAUCGACAAAAGGUUUCUCGUCGAAGUUGUCCAAAAAAUAUCGAUCAUGUCGAAUUAGCUCAUACAAAGCAUCGACAUCCCUCACUUGAGCAGCGGACUCCAUCACCGAAAUUAACACUACGAAGGUGGCACUUCAAUGAUCAAAUAUUCUUUGUACUACAGAGAGGAAACUGGAAAGUUUUAACAACUGAACAAGAAGAGCAAUUGAAGAAACCCAGCAAGAAAUCAUAUGCUCAGGAAGCAAUUUUUUUCAAAAGAUUCAAUAUAUGUAUAUAUAGCUUCAACGAAAAUUCUUUUUAGAAAGUGAGGACUAGGAACAAAAUCAAUUUUCUUCAUGUUUUGUGAUUGCCUCUAUGAGGUUUGCCUUAAAUAAGAGUG
rnacentral:lncRNA from 1 species